AGAGGCACUUUACCGCCCGGCGGGAGCGCCUCUCCUCCGCGUCCCUCGCCCCAGCCCCCUGCCCGCCCCACUUUGGGACCCUCCAGCCGCUUUCCCCACAAAUGAGAUCUUUGCAAUGAGCAAACGAAAGUGGCGCGGAUUUCGGGGCGCCCAGCAGGAGCGAGCGCAGCCGCCAGCCGCAAGUCCGCAGCCGUGUCCCGCGCCCCACGCCGGCCUCCCCGGCGGCAGCCGGAGACGAGCGCCAGCACCGGCGGGACAGCAGCAGAUGCGGGCCGAGAGCCGGUCAGGGGCGCAGAGGCGGAGGGGAUCGGCGCGGCGGGGAGCUCACCGCGAAGCUGGAGGCUGCGUCCGCGGGCGCACCAGGAGCUCAGGCAGCGAGCGAUCGAACGCUCUGUGGCAGGCGGUGGACGCUGCUGAAGCUCUGGCUCUGAGCUCACCGCUCCGCCGUCCGUGGGACCAAGCCCAGCAUUUUACAAACCCAGCUCCUUUCUCCAAGGGUCCUCAGAGCGCCCCUCCGUCACCCCCUGCAGGGCGCCGCAGACGAGGCGCUGACCUUGCGCUCACUCCCCUCGCUGGGGAAGGACACACUCGCUGGCGUCAGCCCGGCCGGCCUGGGAAGUAGGACUAAGGACCCGAACUGCAACCCUCCACACCAGACAGCACAGACCACCCCAAGGCUGCUCAAUCUGCCCAAAGCCAAAAGUACGUGGGGGAUAUGGGUCCAGGUUGGGGUGCUUGGGAGAGGGCCCUGGGAGAGGGGUUCAGACGGUGCACACUCCAAAGGACUGAGGCGGCGCCACUGUGUUACCAUUUUAUUGAGUGUCUAAGGUAAAGACACCUUUGAAAGAACACUCCCGGCUUCUAUCUGGGAUGGGCAAAUCAGCCUGAAGAGUCACCUGCUGGAUCCCUCCCUGCAGGCCCUGUCGUGGGGCAGGUACAGGGACUCCAAUCCAUGUGCCUCCAGCUCCAACGCUCCCCAAGUCCUGGAGCCUCCCCUGUCACCCCAGUGCCUGACCAGUGAAUGGGUGCUGCCCCCACUACAGAGCUCCCUCUGGCUGAGGCAGAGGCCACUGGCUGGGCCUUUCUAGCCACCUUUCACCCCUCUUGCACACGGGAAGCCCCGCAGGCUCCUGACCACAAUGGGAUCCUGACGCCGGAGCCCCUUAGGCCCUUUGCUCAGAAGGCCUCUGGUUAUUACCUCAAUUCUGAACAGCCAGGAGGCCUGAGACUGUCACCCACUUUGAUAAAUACAGACCGACAGAAAGGUCAGGCCAUUGGUGCAAGACCCCAUGGCCAGCAGCCUGGGGCGGGGAGAACCCGGGGGUCUCACAGCCCCCAGCAGAGCCCAGCUUUCCUUGGGUUUUUAGGUUCUUCCCCAAUGAUAUUUUCCCUUUUUCCCUCUCUACCCACUUUCUGCCCCCCAUCUUCUCCCCUUUGGCUGCCCGCUCUCUCCCUGCCCCUCUCCCCUUCUUUGCCCUCUUUCGUCUCCCAGGAGCUCCCCUGCCAGGACCUCGGUGCCGUGGAGACUGCGGGGAACCUGCUCUGCCCACACCUGCUCUGGCCCCUAGACGGAAGCACCUGGAGCCAACCACGGAACUCCAGAUCCCAGCUGUGUGACUGAAUCCACGCCAGCCUCUCUGAGCCAAAGCUGCUUGCAGAAGGGGGAGAUCCCAGUUCGAAGACUCCCGCGCAGAGCCUGUGGCCCUCUCUGCCAGGCCUCAGGGUGCCUGAGACACUCACCUCUCUGCCUCGCAGUUGGGGCUGAGGCUGGGGCUGGCUGCCAGCCUCAGUUCUGGGAGCGCUGGGGUCGCCUGGGCCACAGGCCACAGCAGCUCACCUCAGGACUGGGCUCUCUGGCCUGCUGGGGCUCAGGCUGUGGGGCAGGCUGGGCAGGGGGCUGAGCUGGCAGCGAUUCAGAGCCCUGGGGCUGGGGGCUGGAAUCCACCUCCUCCCACACAAGCUCGGUGGUGACUCUUCGGCCCCUGGGGAAAAACAAAAAGAUAUUGCUGAGAUGACCUCUUUUAAAAGCAAAGCCCCCCUCCCCAUACACCCCAAGCCUGAGCCCUGUCCCAUCCCCCUCCCCGGGUUCCUUCAGGUCACCUUGUCAGGAUCUGGGCAGCGGCUUCCCCCUCUAGCCCCUCCCCUGCCUAGAGCUCCCUCUUUCAAAGUAUAAGGGAGGGAAGAAGUGGUGAGAAGUUUGCCUAGAAAGGGCUUCCCGGUGCUGAUGGAGAGGCCGAGACCCUUCUGUUGGACAGGCUGCCCUGUUCCUGGGUGAGGAUGGGCUUCUGCCUGGCACUGGGGGUGGAGGGUGCACACGAAUGGCCCGCCUUGAGGGGUCAUGGCACGGAAUAUGAAAGCCUCCUCCACCUCCAAACACCCCCACCUUGGAAGGAGAUAAGGAGGGGGCCCCAGCAAAAGCCACUGGACACACAGCUCUGCUUGACGAGGCCAGUGAGGGACGGCGUGGCUGUGCUUCCUGGGGAAAUGAACCCCCUCCCCACAGACACCACCCUGGGUGGAUCGAGGAGUCUGGGUCCAGGGUGCAACAGAGAAAAACUUCAUGCAUGAAUGAGCAUUCCCAGGGAAACUGCCUUGGCCCCAGGGCGCCUCUCUGUGCCAGGGAGGCUGGGAGAGCAGCAAGGGGGACCAGGUGCGCCAUCAGGAGGAGAGAAGCUAAACCUAGGGGGGACAUGGAGGGCGGUUGUUGCCUCUCCCGGCAUUUCUCCUCAGUCUCCUGUCCAAUUUCUUGCUGGUGGUCAGGAGGCAUAGGGAGGCAGGAGGGAAGGAAGCUUUACCUGUAAAAUGGUGUAUAUAUGUAUAAAUAAAAUCUCUGCGCCA
rnacentral:lncRNA from 1 species